GGACCUUCCAGCGGUGCCAGCCCUCGCGGCCGGGGGAACGCAUGGCCACGUGGAGGGACUCUGGGGGGACCUUCAAGGAGCACGUCCCCACAGGCUGCGAGCGGAUGGAGGUUACAGAAACCUUCUCUUACAACACCCUGCCCUGGUUAUCCCAGGAGGGGACAACACUGACAUGCACAGGACAGAACUCCCAUUUCUUACCACUCAUGCACUCACCACUGCCUGACUCGAGGCAGACCUUGGCUGGCUCCCAUUACUGGCACAGGGGCUGCACCCUGAGCUCAAUACCAGGCAGGGAUUGCUCUCCUCCUGAAUGCUCCGAGCCCCCUGGCUGCACCUAAAGGAUUUACAGCUCUCAUUAGCUUGAAACCCAGCGUCUGUUCCUACACUGCUGCUCCAUGUUAAAAACACGGCUAUCCGUCACUUCAAGAGAUCUCACCCAGAGGUCAGGGAACUUGAACCAACAGCAAAAGCCAUCCAGACAGUUUGCAAAUGCAUUUCAGAAAGAGAUUUGUUGUUGGGAAGAAAGAAAAGCUGUUGUUUAAUCACUUUUCUUAUGGAGCUUUUCCCCAGACCAGCACGGAAGCAGCAGAGCUUCCCCCUCCCCCAGCUCACCCCACUUCUCCCUCUUUUGUUUCUGUGCUCUCCUAUGGGCAGAGUUUCAGCCUUGAGUUGUGCUAUUCACACGCCAACCUGGGCUUCACAAAAUGCUUUUUUAUGAUGCAGAAAAACGUUGUCGUAAAACCUUUCACAAACACAGUCAUAAAACCAAAACCCUGAGCUUUCUUCCCCGUCCUUCGUUGGAAUUUCCUUCUGUUGGAAACUUUCCACCCAGCUCUUAUAUAGAAAACCAGAAAAAAAAACCCUCUAAGUGGCACCGCUGGGAGCAUCAAAGGAAUCCAAACACUUCUGGAUUUGCACCCUUUCCUCCUGUUCUUCCAGUAUAUCAGCAAACUGCUUGGAUGACCACAACAACACAAGACCUGCUCAUCUCAUCUCACAGCACGUUCAGGGUGUUGGCACUAAGAUAUGGGCAGAAGAGCAGACAUCCUUAAGUAACAGUGAAAAGCCCAGGAAAGAAUAAACAUUAAUGGGAAUCUCUGUGUGUGCUCAGCUUUACAAUUCCUGAACCUUGCAGGACUGUGACUUCAGACAGAGAGAAAAUAAGCACCCAUCAUAGCCAUUGCUUGAACGUUCCUGGAGAGAAACUGGGGAAGGAUGAAGAGUCAGCUCUACCCACCCCUGCCAACAUCACAGUCGUCCUAUACUGGCAUAAAUCCCGAUUUACACCCACCACAUAGAUGAAAAGCAUCCCCAGCCGUCCAGCCAUGAAACUCAACCCUGUUUUCUUUGCUCAGAGAAGAAAUUACGGGUGAAAUAACAAUAAUAAAUACUGAGCAGAGAACAUUAAGUGGUAUCCAGACUGCUCAAGCAAAUAGAGUUACAUCAGCCAAGGAAAUCAGAGCAGACCGUGCUAGUCCUGUCAGGGUCUGCAAACCCACUGCUCUUCUGUCCAAGCAGCAGCUGCAUUUCCAAGUGUUGCACCAAAGGAAACCAGGCUGGUGAGUGCAUGGGAGCCGCUCAAGCAGCACAUGUGCUACUAGGGAGGCACGAAGUUUCUUUCUUAUUGAUUUCCCCUUCAAACCAACUGACCAGCAAAGGAGACUGAAUGGGGAGAUGUGUUUGGAUGCAGUUUGGUAAUUGUAAGCUCCCAGGCUCUGCGUAGCACGCGAUUCCCUGGCUGCAGGGUGUCUGCACAAGAUUCACUGUAAGGAGGCACCGGAGGGUGCUUUCUAAUCUUUAUGCUCCCAAAGAAACUCCUCCACCUAUGAACUCAAUGUACCGUGAUAAAAGGAGUCAAUCUGAGACUGAAACAAGAGCUGUAAGGAGCCCUUCAGGAAGCACCGCCGACACUGGCUUUCAUUCCUGCUGGUUUCAUUGAUUCGUAUCCCUGAUGUCAGGGCUGAUCACUUGAGAUGAAAUAUGCACUUAAUAUCCUUUUCCUCAGCUAGCAGCCUGUCCUCCACGCCUCUCCCAUUGCUUGGCAGCCCCGCUUUCUCCCCAGACGCCCACCCUUAAAAAACACAGAGACGUGACUAAAAAACAAAGCUGCAGUCCUGCAGUGGUGUCAGGACAACCAAAGCAACAUCCAACCCAUACGCAGCUCUGGGAGCAUCUUCCCCAUCCAACCACCAGGUGUGUGCCCUGUAGCUUUGGCUGGAGCCACACGGAUGGUACCUCGCUGUGACUUGCAGGGAUAAGUCUCCAUCUCCACCUCGUGGAGGGGAUAGGGAGCUUUGGCUGGCAUCACGGGCCGGAACAUAUAGCUGUCGUUGGGCAAGGAGUGCAUGCGUGAAACGGAGAUCUUGCGGACUGUCAGCAGGUUCUGCGAGUCCUGAGGCUGCAGGCUGCCCGUGCCUCCCUGCAAAGCAAGAGAGAGAGAGGGGUCAGUCAGCAUCUGGGUGGGUUUAUGGCUUCUUUUUGCUUUAAAACCUCGUGCUCCUCUUGGCAUCUCACAGAGAGCCUGCAGCUCUGACUGCAACGGCAGCACAGCUCAGUGCAGAGUUCAGACCGUGGCUGGAAAGAAACAAGGCACCAGAGCGAGACAGGUUCCACGUGCUUCUGGAAAUUCAUACAUGACCUCCUCAAACACACACAGACAGAGGCAGACAUGGAAAUGUACACCCACAGUAACACCACUACAAACCCUGCAGCCUUUCCCCAGUGCCAUCUGGGCACUGCUGACCCCAGGGGAUACAGCUGCAGGGCAUCUCAUGGCACCACACAUGUGGGUGCAGAGCUGGAUCCAGGGAAGAAAAGGGAUUUCUGUGUUUGACCUCAAGCAGGGCUGCUCAACACAUCCCCCUCACAAUGCACCCCGUUAUCUAAAGAACAGUGAAUCCCUCUGGGUUUCCUUUAAUGUCAGUCUCCCGGUGACUGAUGGAAAACAUUUUCCCAGCUGCAUGUCUUAAAUUAAAUGUAUUUUGCUUUGCUCC